GACGAACGCUGGCGGCGUGCUUAACACAUGCAAGUCGAACGGAAAGGCCCUGCUUUUGUGGGGUGCUCGAGUGGCGAACGGGUGAGUAACACGUGAGUAACCUGCCCUUGACUUUGGGAUAACUUCAGGAAACUGGGGCUAAUACCGGAUAGGAGCUCCUGCUGCAUGGUGGGGGUUGGAAAGUUUCGGCGGUUGGGGAUGGACUCGCGGCUUAUCAGCUUGUUGGUGGGGUAGUGGCUUACCAAGGCUUUGGCGGGUAGCCGGCCUGAGCGGGUGACCGGCCACAUUGGGACGGAGAUACGGCCCAGACUCCUACGGGAGGCAGCGGUGGGGAAUAUUGCACAAUGGGCGGAAGCCUGAUGCAGCAACGCCGCGUGCGGGAUGACGGCCUGCGGGUUGUAAACCGCUUUCGCCUGUGACGAAGCGUGAGUGACGGUAAUGGGUAAAUAAGCACCGGCUAACUACGUG
rnacentral:rRNA from 1 species